GCCUUUGUGGUGUAGUAGUCAGCACACUCGGCGCGUAUUCGAGAGGCCCGAGGUUCGAAUCCUGGAGAGGGCA
rnacentral:tRNA from 1 species